AUUGAACGCUGGCGGCAGGCUUAACACAUGCAAGUCGAGCGGUAACAGAGAGAAGCUUGCUUCUCUGCUGACGAGCGGCGGACGGGUGAGUAAUGCCUAGGAAUCUGCCUAGUCGUGGGGGAUAACUUGCCGAAAGGUAAGCUAAUACCGCAUGCGUCCUACGGGAGAAAGGAGGGGACCUUCGGGCCUUUCGCUAUUAGAUGAGCCUAGGUCGGAUUAGUUAGUUGGUGAGGUAAUGGCUCACCAAGACCGCGAUCCGUAACUGGUCUGAGAGGAUGAUCAGUCACACUGGAACGGAGACACGGUCCAGACUCCUACGGGAGGCAGCAGUGGGGAAUAUUGGACAAUGGGGGGAACCCUGAUCCAGCCAUGCCGCGUGUGUGAAGAAGGUCUUAGGAUUGUAAAGCACUUUAAGUUGGGAGGAAGGGCAGUUAACUAAUAUUUGACUGUUUUGACGUUACCGACAGAAUAAGCACCGGCUAACUUCGUGCCAGCAGCCGCCGUAA
rnacentral:rRNA from 1 species